rnacentral:rRNA from 1 species
UACGUAGGGAGCAAGCGUUGUCCGGAAUCAUUGGGCGUAAAGCGCGCGUAGGUGGCCCUGUAAGUCCGUUUUGAAAGUCAAAGGCUCAACCUUUGAAAGCCGAUGGAUACUGCAGGGCUAGAGUACGGAAGAGGCGAGUGGAAUUCCUGGUGUAGCGGUGGAAUGCGCAGAUAUCAGGAGGAACACCAAUAGCGAAGGCAGCUCGCUGGGACGUUACUGACACUGAGGCGCGAAAGCGUGGGGAGCGAACAGG